rnacentral:rRNA from 1 species
UACGGGGGGGGCAAGCGUUGUUCGGAAUUACUGGGCGUAAAGGGCUCGUAGGCGGCCAACUAAGUCGGACGUGAAAUCCCUCGGCUUAACCGGGGAACUGCGUCCGAUACUGGAUGGCUUGAGUAUGGGAGAGGGAUGCGGAAUUCCAGGUGUAGCGGUGAAAUGCGUAGAUAUCAAGAGGAACACCUGAGGUGAAGACGGGUUGCUAGGCUGACACUGACGCUGAGGCGCGAAAGCCAGGGGAGCAAACGGG